rnacentral:rRNA from 1 species
UACAGAGGGGGCAAGCGUUGUUCGGAAUUACUGGGCGUAAAGGGCGCGUAGGCGGCCCGCUAAGUCGAACGUGAAAUCCCCGGGCUCAACCCGGGAACUGCGUCCGAUACUGGUGGGCUUGAAUCCGGGAGAGGGAUGCGGAAUUCCAGGUGUAGCGGUGAAAUGCGUAGAUAUCAGGAGGAACACCGAUGGCGAAGGCAGGUCUCUGGGCCACUACUGACGCUGAGAAGCGAAAGCAUGGGGAGCGAACAGG